rnacentral:rRNA from 1 species
GAUGAACGCUAGCGGCAGGCUUAACACAUGCAAGUCGAGGGGCAGCAUAGAGAUGUAGCAAUACAUUUUGGUGGCGACCGGCGGACGGGUGCGUAACGCGUAUGCAACCUACCCAUAACAGGGGGAUAACGGAGAGAAAUUUCCACUAAUACCCCAUAACAUUCGGAGUGGCAUCACUUUGGGUUGAAAGAUCAGUUGGUUAUGGAUGGGCAUGCGUUGUAUUAGUUAGUUGGUAGGGUAACGGCCUACCAAGGCUACGAUACAUAGGGGGACUGAGAGGUUAACCCCCCACACUGGUACUGAGACACGGACCAGACUCCUACGGGAGGCAGCAGUGAGGAAUAUUGGUCAAUGGGCGCAAGCCUGAACCAGCCAUGCUGCGUGCAGGAAGACGGCUCUAUGAGUUGUAAACUGCUUUUGUACGAGGGUAAACGCACCUACGUGUAGGUGUUUGAAAGUAUCGUACGAAUAAGGAUCGGCUAACUCCGUGCCAGCCGCCGCGGUAACAC